rnacentral:tRNA from 1 species
GUGGGUAUAGCUCAGUGGUAGAGUGCAUGCCUAGCACGCAGGAGGUCCUCAGUUCAAUCCCCAGUACCUCCA